AACGAACGCUGGCGGCAUGCCUAACACAUGCAAGUCGAACGAGACCUCCGGGACUAGUGGCGCACGGGUGCGUAACGCGUGGGAACCUGCCCUUAGGUUUGGAAUAACUCUCCGAAAGGGGUGCUAAUACCGGAUAAUGUCUUCGGACCAAAGAUAUAUCGCCCUUGGAUGGGCCCGCGUUGGAUUAGCUAGUUGGUAGGGUAAAAGCCUACCAAGGCGUCGAUCCAUAGCUGGUCAGAGAGGAUGAUCAGCCACACUGGGAGUGAGAAACGGCCCCGACGCCUAGGGGAGGCAGCAGCAGGGAAUAUUCGGGAAGGGGGGAGAGCGUGAUGGAGCAAUACCGCGUGGGUGAAGAAGGCCUUCGGGUUGUAAAGCCCUGUUGUUGGGAAAGAAAAGCAGCUGGUUCACCCGGCGCUGUUCUGACGGUACCGAAAGAAUAAGCACCGGCUAACUUCGUG
rnacentral:rRNA from 1 species